rnacentral:misc_RNA from 1 species
AACGCAUAUUGCACCCUCUGGUAUUCCGGGGGGUAUGCCUGUUUGAGAACCGCCAAUAACUCUCGCAAAACUGGAUAUGAUCUCCUUGGAGAUCAUGCCCAGCAAGCGGAUUUGGGUUUUCCCUCAGACGCGCUCAGCGUGUUUUCUGGGAUCGUCCGAAAUGCAGCGACUGGGGCCUUGCGUGCUGAAAGGGUUUUCUCUCAACAGUACUAGCUCUUUGACAAAACGACGUGGAUUAAUGGGUCUUUGUGCCUUUUCUCAACGUCCUUGAAAUUGAGCUGUGGAAACCAAGAGAAUUCAUCCCAAACUUUUCGGCUAUACCUAUAAGGUGGACGCGGGUAUACAGCUUCUUCUUAACAUGCCAGGCAAUGGGGAGUCUCUCUCUCUCUUUUUUGAGAAUGAGAGCCCUUGUUGUACACCUGUUUAUUUUGGUCUCAAAUCAAGCAAGACGACCCGCUGAACUUAA